CCACCUCCCAGACAGGUCUCCGCCGCUACAUCAUCUCGCAAACCGAGCCCCCCUGGUGUCGCAUCUUGUCGAGCUCACUGCCUUGCCGUGGUUCCAGUGGGGGACGGGCAUGCUCAUACACAGGAGGAUGGAUGCCCUGGUCUGGUACGACCAGGAUGGUAUCGGUGCUUCGGCCAACUCCAUCAAUCUGCUUAGUAAAUGCCCACUCCUAAAUCCGUUUGAAGUUUUGGUUAUGAUCGCCAUGCUCUUCUCAAUUUUCAAAACUUUAAGAGUUCAAAGUACACAAGAACAUAAGUCCCCUAUGCUUUGCGUCAGAUAUCUGAUAUUUGUGAGGGGAACUUCAAUUUUCUUCAGUUCAACUUUUGAAUGUGUUUCAGUUCGUCUACUUCCCAGUCGUCCUAUGUCAAUCAAAAAAAGCAGCAGUUUAGCACGAAAAAUAGAGCCUCUUCUCUUCCCAGUACACAACACAGAAGGUAUUUGUCUCCAACUUACAUUAAGAGUUCAAAGUACACAAAGGAAAAAGGUUCAAUUUUCAAAACUUUAAGAGUUCAAAGUACACAAGAACAUAAGUCCACUAUGCUUUGCAUCAGAUAUCUGAUAUUUGUGAGGGGAAAUUCAAUUUUCUUUAGUUCAACUUUUGAAUGUGUUUCAGUUCGUCUACUUCCCAGUCGUCCUGUGUUAGCUAGAUCAGUACUAGUGCUCACCAGUACGACAAGUAGCAGUACUGAUUAGUACGACCUACACAAAUACUAUUACUGAUCAGUAAUAUUCUUAAUGUUAAAAAGUAACAUCCAUAUAGAAAAAUUGCUUCUAUUCUAACACACAAUUUUUUGGAAAAAAGAGCACUAGUACUGAUGAGUCGUACCGACAAGGAUGCCGUCUACAAUUCUAAAAUUAUUGUUGAGUCGUACUAGUACUAUUACUGAUGAAAAUGGGAAGCAAGUGUCACAUGAAUCCUCAAUUGAAUGGGAAGCAAGGUGAUCCUCGCUCCUUCAACUCCACUUCGCCAGUGCCCGUCAGUCUGCGGGAGUAGGGGCGGCGUGCUCGUCAACAAACAAGAACAGAAGGUAUAUUCUUGGAAAACUUAAAAUUAUGUUCACAUUUGGGCAACAGUAGUUAUAGCUUCUCUCAAAGUUCAAAAUGAAAGAUAUUCAGUUCAACUUGUUCUAGCAAAACAUGUGUGGGACCUUGGCAGCAUGUCAGACACACUAUCUAGUGCAGAAAAAAUGUUCGGCGUAGUUCAGCGCACCGCCGCCGCCUACGCUCUGCCUCCAAGUGCCGCUGGUCUAUGAGUUCAACAUGUAUAACCCUAUAAGUUCAUAGAAAAAUAGAAAACAAGAUAAACAAAAAUAAUGAUACACAAAACCCAUGGAAUUCAUUGGGAAAAGAUAACAAGUUCUAAGGAAAUAAAUGUAGAAGUUCAUAUUUCAAAAUAAAUGAAGUAUUUGGGAAGUAAAAAUGAAGUAUUUCAAAGUGUAGAAAUCUUUUUAGGUUUCUUUGGGAAUUUCUAAUGUUACUACACAUGAACUUGCUUGGUUACACAAAUAUGAAACCGAUUGUGCAAGUCACUUAGAAUGUGUUUGAACUUGUUAUGGGAACUCAUGACUUGUUAUGAUUAAAUGCAGGGAGCAACUGGCGUCGAAUGGGCCCCUGGGAGCUAGUCCAACCCGCUCGCAGACUGGAGGGCAUGUUGGUUUAUUUCCAAUGAAGCCCUAUGUACAAUCAGUCUGUUCGUUUGAUAAGAAAGGAGACAACAUAGAAGUUAUGGUUGAAGCAAGUCCCUCCAUCCAGUUAUGUCCGAUUUUUGUGAUAGUAGUUCAAAAUGAGGGAUAUAUUGUAUAAACUUUUUUGGACUUGUGCCCAGGCUGCUUCUGAACAACUCCAAUGCUUUAUUGGCCUUAGUACUACAGUUUGGUAACUUUGAACUGAGAACUCUAUGAACUCUUGGACAUGUUCAUAAAGUAUUCCUGGACUAAGAACUCGAUGAACUCCUAGACCUAUUCAUAAAGUAUUGUUGGAGAACUCUCAGUAGUUCUAGUAUUAUAGUGUGUGUUUUGAACUAAGAGAUAUACUCUAUGAACUUUCUCUACUCUUGAAGCAUUUUGUUCUCAUAUAUAAAAUCAAGUGCAUAUAUGAAAUCUUGAACAAAAUGCUCUAUGGACUCUUGCAUUGUUGGAGAACUGUUGUUUGGUACCUAAUGGAAUUUCCACACGAAGCAUUUUGUUCUCAGUAUUUUGGUGAAAGUUUCCUUCCUAUUGCAUAGCUGCUGCAGUAGACCUUCUAUGCAUGGCAAUGUAAA
rnacentral:lncRNA from 1 species